AAUUUUAAAUGUUGGACAUAAACUUUUAACAAGGUCUCCCAACAGUAUUGACAACAAACUACAUGUAUAUUGUUACAUCAAAACGGAAGUCAAAUGCAAGCAUCUAUAAAUGUACAUAGCAGCACCCUCAUAUAGCAAUAUGGCAUGUACAACAAGUGUCGUUUCACAACUAAAAUUUCCUUAUAUGUUCAUAGGGAGUUAUGUUUGGGAUCCAAAUACCAAUUCAGAAUAGGGACCACUUUCCAGCUCAAAGUAUGGAAUCGAUUGGCUUUCAAACUUAAAUGAAAUUCUGCACAUAUUUUUGCUAUACAUAGAAUCUCAAACAUUAAGCCAGGAAAUACAGUCAAGCUCAAGUGGGGAUUAGUAACGCUGACUGGACUGCUUAAUCAUACUCCAAAUUUUAGCUUUGUUUGUCUCAGUGUUUCAGAGAGCCCUUUUAGGCCAAAACUCCAAAAGGUAUUGGAACAACACCACAAAAGGUUAAUAAAACAAAUAUGAACCUUUUUAUACUUGUAGCACCAGAAAACAUGACUUGCAGCUCAUGGAUGGUGAACUCAGAGGAUAUUUGCAGAAUAUGCUGAGUGUUGUCAACACAAACGAGCUCCCUCGGGACCCUUUGUCACCCAUCGAAUAUUUACCAUACUGGAAUCGGAAUGGCCUUCUAGUUAUCAAGACUUUAUUUGUUCCAUUGAUGACACUGCUGUAAGGAAGGAAAUAGAGAAAACAUGGUAAACAAAUUCAGACAAUGAUAUCAGGAAAGAGAGAAAUUGUGAUUUUUCCCACAUCCUUUGUAUUUUCGGGUGAACUAAAAUAAUAUUUGAACAUGUAUCUAAAAUAAUUAUAAUAGUAAAAUUCUUAAAACAGAAAGAUCUGAAGUUAAAAAGGAAGGCCGACCUGAACUUGCACCAUCAGUUUAAAUGGGCGUGAUACCCCAGAAACUGCAGUCCACUAUCAUUGCUUGUUUGCUCUAGAGCAUAUGGACAGAGCACAAUAUAUAUGUGUUUAAUGACCACAAGCUAACAACCAGACAAAUCCAAGGUGGCGUCUAAUCUUCGUGUUUGGGCUUAUCGUGCUAAGGAUGUCCAAAAGCCGCACUGCAACAACGAGCGUAAAUUCUACUCUGCCGUCUAAUUUAGGCGUUUCUCCAUUCGCACAAAUAUAAAAUUUGAAUAAUUCGCACAGGCCCCGAACCUUCUGCAUUCCUUAAUUUAAUGUUCAGGUGAGCAAAAUGCAUGUUGUAGUUUCCCUAAAAAAAGUUUGGAUGGGAGCGACUGUUGCUACAGUCACAUUAGCAGAAGGAAUAGAGGAAUCUACAGUGUUAUCCUUGAGAUCAAUAUUGUUCAUAUAAAUAAAUCUAUAGACUGUAAAAAAAUAAAUGGUGAUACUUAUCGACAGUACCUCUUUAGUAUAUGCGAGAGCCUGAGUGCAACUUCAGGUUAGUAGUCGCUGAGAGUAGCAUGUACUAUUGCAGUGCUCCUCU
rnacentral:lncRNA from 1 species